AGUUAAUGACCUUCUGUUAAACCCGCGCACGUCCUGUGCGCAACACAGAAGUCAUCCUGUGCA
rnacentral:sRNA from 1 species